rnacentral:rRNA from 1 species
UUAAGCUAUAAAGAGCACAGGGUGGAUGCCUAGGCACUGAGAGCCGAUGAAGGACGUGAUAAGCUGCGAAAAGCCACGGGGAGGAGCAAAUAUCCUUUGAGCCGUGGAUAUCCGAAUGGGGGAACCCACUUAAGUAAACCUUAAGUACUGACAAGCCAAUACAUAACUUGCCAGAGGGAACCCGGGGAACUGAAACAUCUAAGUACCCGGAGGAAGAGAAAGAAACAUCGAUUUCCUUAGUAGCGGCGAGCGAAAGGGAAAGAGCCCAAACCGAGAGAUUUAUCUUUCGGGGUUAGGACUGCAUAAUUGAUCUGCGAUUGAUAGGAGAAUGGUCUGGGAAGUCCAGCAGGAAAGCGUGAAAGCCGCGUAUCCGAAAUUGAAAGCAGCAAGGCAGUAUCCAGAGUACCACGAGACACGAGGAACCUUGUGGGAAUGAGCGGAGACCACUCCGUAAGGCUAAAUACUACUCAGUGACCGAUAGCGCAUAGUACUGUGAAGGAAAGGUGAAAAGGACCCCGGGAGGGGAGUGAAAGAGAACCUGAAACCCUGUGUUUACAAGCUGUCGAAGCACGUUAGUGCGACGGCGUACUUUUUGUAGAACGGUCCGGCGAGUUAUGAUACGCGGUAAGGUUAAGGACUUAAGGUCCGGAGCCGAAGCGAAAGCGAGUGUUAAGAGCACGAGGAAUCACGUAUCAUAGACCCGAAACCGGGUGAUCUAUCCAUGUCCAGGAUGAAGCUGCCGUAAGAGGUAGUGGAGGUCCGAACACACAUCCGUUGAAAAGGGUGGUGAUGAGGUGUGGAUAGGGGAGAAAUUCCAAUCGAACCCGGAGAUAGCUGGUUCUCCUCGAAAUAGCUUUAGGGCUAGCCUCUUAAAAGAGUAACGGAGGUAGAGCACUGAAUAGCCUAGGGGGCGUCAAAGCCUACCGAAGCUUAUCAAACUCCGAAUGCCGUAUACUUGAUUUAAGGGAGUCAGACUGCACGAGAUAAGUUGGGCAGUCAAAAGGGAAAGAGCCCAGACCGCCAGCUAAGGCCCCAAAAUGCAUGUUAAGUGGAAAAGGAUGUGGGAUCUCUAAGACAACUAGGAUGUUGGCUCAGAAGCAGCCAUUCAUUCAAAGAGUGCGUAACAGCUCACUAGUCGAGAGGUCCUGCGCCGAAAAUGUCCGGGGCUAAAACAUGCCACCGAAGCUCAGGAAUGACAUAGUCAUUGGUAGAGGAGCAUUCUUAACGCGAAGAAGCAGUACCGUAAGGAGCUGUGGAGUGCUAAGAAGAGAGAAUGCCGGAAUGAGUAGCGAGAACAAGGUGAGAAUCCUUGUGGCCGAAUAUCCAAGGUCUCCAGGGUAAAGCUGAUCUGCCCUGGGAAAGUCGGGACCUAAGGUCAGGCUGAAAAGCGUAGCCGAUGGACAACAGGUUGAUAUUCCUGUACCGCAUGGUAACAGAACUGUGGGGACACGGGAGGGAAACAUGGGCCGGAAAUGGAAAGUCCGGUACAAACGGGGUAGUCGCACAGCAGGCAAAUCCGCUGUGCAUAAGACGAAGCCGUGAUGUGGAGCGAAAUGAAGUAGCGAAGCAUGUGCCCCCUCCUGUCGAGAAAAGCCGCUAUUGUUUGCCAUGCGCCCGUACCGUAAACCGACACAGGUGGAUGAGGAGAGAAUCCUAAGGCCGGCGGGAGAAGCAUUGUCAAGGAACUCGGCAAAAUGACCCCGUAACUUCGGGAGAAGGGGUGCCCACGAAGGUGGGCCGCAGAGAAUAGGCUCAAGCAACUGUUUAGCAAAAACACAGGUCUAUGCGAAACCGUAAGGUGAGGUAUAUGGGCUGACGCCUGCCCGGUGCUGGAAGGUUAAGAGGAGAGGUUAGCUUCGGCGAAGCUUUGAAUUCAAGCCCCAGUAAACGGCGGCCGUAACUAUAACGGUCCUAAGGUAGCGAAAUUCCUUGUCGGGUAAGUUCCGACCCGC